ACGGGAGGCAGCAGUGAGGGAUAUUGGGCAAUGGGGGCAACCCUGACCCAGCGACGCCGCGUGAGGGAAGACGGUCUUCGGAUUGUAAACCUCUGUCUUUGGGGACGAAAAAGGACGGUACCCAAGGAGGAAGCUCCGGCUAACUACGUGCCAGCAGCCGCGGUAAUACGUAGGGAGCGAGCGUUGUCCGGAAUUACUGGGUGUAAAGGGAGCGUAGGCGGGAAGGCAAGUUGGAUGUGAAAACUGUGGGCUCAACCUACAGACUGCAUUCAAAACUGUUUUUCUUGAGUGAAGUAGAGGCAAGCGGAAUUCCUAGUGUAGCGGUGAAAUGCGUAGAUAUUAGGAGGAACACCAGUGGCGAAGGCGGCUUGCUGGGCUUUUACUGACGCUGAGGCUCGAAAGUGUGGGGAGCAAACAGGAUUAGAUACCCUGGUA
rnacentral:rRNA from 1 species